CGGACUUCAAGAGAACAAAGACGAACACUGGAUCCCUACUGGAUUUGGAGGUCUACAGAGAGGGCUGCAUUUUGUCCAGAAUUUGGAAGCUUAUCAGACACAGGGGCCAGGAACAGAAGCCUCCCACAAGCCCAGAAGGACAUACUUAAUGCACAGCACUGAUUGCUACAGGGACCAAGAUGGGGACUUACAGAUUCCAAGUGGUCACACUGAAGGAACUCCGAUGUGUUUCUUCAUCUUUACCUUCACUGUGCAGUCGCUGCGUAGGUCAUAUCUG